UACGUAGGGGGCUAGCGUUGUCCGGAAUCAUUGGGCGUAAAGCGCGUGUAGGCGGUUCGGUAAGUCCGCUGUGAAAGUCGGGGGCUCAACCCUCGGAUGCCGGUGGAUACUGUCGAGCUUGAGUACGGAAGAGGCGAGUGGAAUUCCUGGUGUAGCGGUGAAAUGCGCAGAUAUCAGGAGGAACACCGGUGGCGAAGGCGGAUCGCUGGGCCUUACCUGACGCUCAGGUGCGAAAGCUAGGGGAGCGAACAGG
rnacentral:rRNA from 1 species